AAGUUCUUUCUCCACUUCUGAGACUUGGAAAAUAGUGAGAGGUGAUAGAGUGAAGUAUGACUGGACCCGAGGAGUUUGGUUUACUCAGGCUACUCCUAAAUUUGCAUUCAUGGUGUGGUUGGCGAAUCUUAAUAGGUUGUCUACAAUGGAGAGAGUAAUCCAUUGGAAUCCAGGAGCUGAUGAUGAGUGUGUGCUCUGUAAAAAUGCGAGGGAAAGUAGAGACCACUUAUUUUUUGAGUGCUCUUACUCUAUACAACUUUGGGAAAAUCUUGUUAAAGGGAUUAUGGAGAGUUCUUACACAAGUUCCUGGUCAGAGAUCAUGCGGUUGGCUGCGGAGGGUUGUAACAUGGAUCGAAAGAGGCUCUUCUGUUUCCGUUAUGCGUUUCACAUUGCAAUAUAUGGAAUAUGGAGAGAACGAAACAGAGUUAGGCAUGGGGAGAAGUUAAUGCCUAUAACUGUGUUGAAGAAGGUGACUGAUAAGAGGGUGAGAAACAAACUUAGUGUGAUGAGAGCUAAAAGAGUAAAGGGUAUGGAAGAUGCUUUGCAACUCUGGUUUGGCACUAGAGUGUGAUUAGCUUUGAUUAUUUUAUAGGGGUUUUGUACAGAGUUUUAACUCUAGAUUGAUACAAGGAUAGCAUCUUUUGUAAACAGGUUUGUUUUGAGGAAUAAAAUUUAAUAUUUUUUCAAAAAAAAAUAAAUAAUAUCUUCUUAUAAUAUAAAGAAGAUACUCCCUUCUUCUACAUUGAUCCACGUCACUAAAUGAAUUUCUCAUGAGUCGACACCUGUCUAAACGCAACUCCAUCCGCGUUUCAUUUAGAAUCUGUUUCAUGGGUUUUACUUGCUUUGUUUCGUUGUUGGGCCAUUAUAUCGUGAAGCCCAUGUCGUGAUCAAUAGUUUUGUCAUGAAACACGUCGUUUUAUAUUAGAUGUUAGCGUCUGUGUUUCUUCGCGUCUCCAGGGGUGAUGGCGAUUUAGUCUUUAGCACUGCUUAAGAUCGAUCAACUCAAAUUUAUUGCGUCAGGAAGCUCAAUCAUCAUCCUUACAUCUACCAACGCAGGUAAUAAAUAAUUUCAAUCAAGAUCUUUGUUCUCAUCUGUUCUCGAUCGUUUUCAAUUGUUAUGGUUGCUCCAACUGAUAAUCGUAUGCCUCUCCGUAAUUGCCAUCAUAUCGCUGAUAAUCUUCUCCGUCAGGCCAGUAUCUAUAGUGAAGAGAAGAAUGUUGUAGACUUAAAUCACGCUUCCUAGAUACUGCACGUGAGGGAAAAAAUAUACUAUAUGUUCUUCUGAAAUUUUAUAUUUGAAACUUCCAUGGUUACAAAUUUUGUUCCUUUUUUUGCUCUUAAUAGAUUUUGUAAUAAGUAAUAACUUUAAUAAAGCCGACGAUGAAUCCUUUAUUGUUGGAAGUGGUUUCUGUUGGUAUCGUAUAUAAGAUUCUGUUGAAUGUCUUUAUGUCCACCGUGAUUCAACCUCCAGACCUGAUAUUAACAAGGUUUAAGAUUUAGAAUUAGCAUUUUGUUGACUUUAUAAUUGCAUCUUCAAAAUACAUUUGCUUUCUUGUAUUUGUUUAUUUUUUUCUUCCUCUAGAUCAUGCAACUGGUAUGGCCGACAACAUCUCAAGACACGUUACUGUUACCAGAAAACAUUAAACUAACCGAAUGUGUUUAUAGACCUGUAAGUCUGUAACAAGAAAACUGUUGGCCCUGGAGCACCUUUUACGAAAGAGUCUCUUGCUGAAGCUAGAAGCCUUGAACAAGAAAGAUAGGGAAAGAAGAAGAAAGCCUGAGUUGAAAAACAACCUUGAAUCUUAUGUUUAUGCUACCAAAGAGAAGGUUGUUCCAGCUGAGCUUGAAGCAUUGUUGCUUGCUCAUCCAGAGAUUGCUGAUGCAGCAGUAAUACCGUAAGGACUUUUUCUUUUAACAUGAUAGAGAUUGCUAAAUUCUUCUCUUUUUAAUGACUUUUUUUUUCUGUAGCUCUCUACUUUUUCUUUCUUAUGUUUUUUAAAGCAUCCCUGACUUGAAAUCUGAGCAAUAUCCAAUGGCAUAUAUAUAUCAAAAGAACAGCUGGAAGUAACUUAUCCGAAAAAUCCCUCUGGCAAAAUUUUAAGAAGAGAACUUAUAAAGCUCACAAACUCGAAGCUCUAGCAAACCACUCUAUCUUACACUUCACCGUUAGUUAACUCAUUUAUUUGGUUAACCGAUUAUUUAUUUCUCUUACAGAAAAAUCUCUGUCAAAACUGAAUACUGAUUUUGCUCAGCCUGAGCAGCAGAUCUAUUCUAAGUCGCUGCCUCCGAGUUUCGUUACGGUCCGAGCCAUGUCAGAGUCUCAGACAGCUCUAAAGAAUCAGCCACUGUCCUCGGCCUCCUCUGGUUUGUUUUUGUGUUAACCUGCAAGUUCAUAUUUCAAUUAUAUUCUGUUUACAAUAAGGUUUUUAAUGUAACAUGGGCGUGUGUACAUCAGGAAAGAUAGCAAGCUUUGAUAUCUUUAUCUGACAAGUAGGAAUUAUCUACUCUUGGCAACGGUCUUCGAGAGCGCGCAUGUCUUAUUUCAUAAUUUUUAGUUAUGUUUCUGUUCUAAUAAGUGUUUAUGAAUUGAAAAAUGAUUCUUUUUUUCAUUGUUUCUACUGGAGGAACUGCCUCUACCUUAGAGAAUGCUGGAGUCUCUGUCAUUUCCAAAGUGGAGACGCUUACUCAUUUCCCUGAAAUGGCAAGUUUCAUUCUUUAGCUGGUGGUAAUGAUUAAGCAGUUGAGUUUGGUAUAUUAAGCUUACCUCUCAUUAUGUUUUUUU